AGACUACAUUUGCUGCACAGUUGAAUAAACACGCUGCCAAACUCAUGGAAGUUGUACGAAGAAAAGGAGGAGCUAUUGGAGACAAUGCUGCAGGGAUUCUACAUGAUCAUGAUGAGGCUUCAUCAAACGGUUCACUGAACGCAUCUACACGAAGGCAGUGUCUUCUGAAGUUACUGAUGGUUUUCCUGGGAGACCCUGUGGAUGCAAUCAUCAAAGAACAUCAGGUAUAACAGGCUAAACAAUGACCUGCAAGAUUCGAAUGUGGAAGUAGAGACCCUGGCAGUCAUCCUAACGCCCACAGAUGUGAAAAUCAUUCUGGAAGGCGAAGAGGUUAUGGCUGAUCUGCAUUCGGUGGUCGACGGAUUCGUCAUGCUGUUUGGGCUCAUUUAUGCCCUCAACAUGCAGUACCC
rnacentral:lncRNA from 1 species